rnacentral:rRNA from 1 species
AUUGAACGCUGGCGGCAGGCCUAACACAUGCAAGUCGAACGGUAACAGGAAGAAGCUUGCUUCUUUGCUGACGAGUGGCGGACGGGUGAGUAAUGUCUGGUAAACUGCCUGAUGGAGGGGGAUAACUACUGGAAACGGUAGCUAAUACCGCAUAACGUCGCAAGACCAAAGAGGGGGACCUUCGGGCCUCUUGCCAUCGGAUGUGCCCAGAUGGGAUUAGCUAGUAGGUGGGGUAACGGCUCACCUAGGCGACGAUCCCUAGCUGGUCUUAGAGGAUGACCUGCCACACUGGAACUGAGACACGGUCCAGACUCCUACGGGAGGCAGCAGUGGGUAAUAUUGCACAAUGGGCGCAAGCCUGAUACAGCCAUGCCGCGUGUAUGAAGAAGGCCUUCGGGUUGGAAAGUACUUUCAGCGGGGAGGAAGGGAGUAAAGUUGAUACCUUUGCUCAUUGACGUUACCCGCAGAAGAAGCACCGGCUAACUCCGUG